rnacentral:rRNA from 1 species
UACGAGGGGUGCGAGCGUUGCUCGGAAUUAUUGGGCGUAAAGGGUAGGUAGGCGGUUUCAUUUGUCUGGGGUGAAAGCCUUGGGCUUAACUCAAGAAGUGCCCCGGAAACGGUGAAACUCGAGUACUGGAGAGGGUCGUGGAAUUCCCGGUGUAGCGGUGAAAUGCGUAGAGAUCGGGAGGAACACCAGAGGCGAAGGCGGCGACCUGGACAGUUACUGACACUCAACUACGAAAGCGUGGGGAGCAAACAGG